UUGAACGCUGGCGGCAGGCCUCACACAUGCCCGUCGAACGGUAACAGGGAUCAGCUUGCUGAUUCGCUGACGAGUGGCGGACGGGUGAGUAAUGUCUGGGAAACUGCCUGAUGGAGGGGGAUAACUACUGGAAACGGUAGCUAAUACCGCAUAACGUCGCAAGACCAAAGAGGGGGACCUUCGGGCCUCUUGCCAUCGGAUGUGCCCAGAUGGGAUUAGCUAGUAGGUGGGGUAACGGCUCACCUAGGCGACGAUCCCUAGCUGGUCUGAGAGGAUGACCAGCCACACUGGAACUGAGACACGGUCCAGACUCCUACGGGAGGCAGCAGUGGGGAAUAUUGCACAAUGGGCGCAAGCCUGAUGCAGCCAUGCCGCGUGUAUGAAGAAGGCCUUCGGGUUGUAAAGUACUUUCAGCGGGGAGGAAGGGAGUAAAGUUAAUACCUUUGCUCAUUGACGUUACCCGCAGAAGAAGCACCGGCUAACUCCGUG
rnacentral:rRNA from 1 species